rnacentral:rRNA from 1 species
UUCUAGAGCUAAUACAUGCACCAAAGCUCCGAUUUUCUGACGAGCGCAUCUAUUAGAUUAAAACCAAUCGGGUUUCGGCCCGUAAAUUGGUGACUCUGAAUAACUAUAGCUGAUCGCAUGGUCUCGAACCGGCGACGUAUCUAUCAAGUGUCUGCCUUAUCAACUGUCGAUGGUAGUUUAUGUGCCUACCAUGGUUGUAACGGGUAACGGAGAAUAAGGGUUCGACUCCGGAGAGGGAGCCUGAGAAACGGCUACCACAUCCAAGGAAGGCAGCAGGCGCGCAAAUUACCCACUCUCGGCAUGAGGAGGUAGUGACGAAAAAUAACGAGACCGUUCUCUAUGAGGCCGGUUAUCGGAAUGGGUACAAUUUAAACCCGUUAACGAGGAUCUAUGAGAGGGCAAGUCUGGUGCCAGCAGCCGCGGUAAUUCCAGCUCUCAAAGUGUAUAUCGUCAUUGCUGCGGUUAAAAAGCUCGUAGUUGGAUCUGCGCCUCAGGACCUGGUCCGCCCACUGGGCGAGAACUGGGCUCCUGGGCUAGUUCUGCUGGUUUUCCCUACGUUGCCUUCAUCGGUCGCGUAGGGUGGCUAGCGAGUUUACUUUGAAAAAAUUAGAGUGCUUCACGCGGGCUUAUGUCUGAAUACUCGUGCAUGGAAUAAUAGAAUAGGAUCUCGGUUCUAUUUUGUUGGUUUUCUGAUCUGAGAUAAUGGUUAAGAGGGACGGACGGGGGCAUUCGUAUCGCUGCGUGAGAGGUGAAAUUCUUGGACCGUAGCGAGACGUCCGACUGCGAAAGCAUUUGCCAAGAAUGUCUUCAUUAAUCAAGAACGAAAGUCAGAGGUUCGAAGGCGAUAGAA